rnacentral:rRNA from 1 species
UACGUAGGGGGCAAGCGUUGUCCGGAAUCAUUGGGCGUAAAGCGCGUGUAGGCGGCUUGGUAAGUCCGCGCUGAAAGCCCGGGGCUCAACCCCGGGAGGCGGGUGGAUACUGUCAAGCUCGAGUCCGGAAGAGGCGAGUGGAAUUCCUGGUGUAGCGGUGAAAUGCGCAGAUAUCAGGAGGAACACCAAUGGCGAAGGCAGCUCGCUGGGACGUGACUGACGCUGAGACGCGAAAGCGUGGGGAGCAAACAGG